rnacentral:rRNA from 1 species
UCACACCUGAUCCCAUGCCGAACACAGAAGUUAAGCUCCUUAGCACCGAUGGUAGUCGGUCAUACGAUCCACAAAAGUAGGACGUUACUAGGC